rnacentral:rRNA from 1 species
CAUGAAUAAGCAUCGGCUAACUCCGUGCCAGCAGCCGCGGUAAUACGCGACGGGAAUGCCAGUGCGUUAUCCUGGAUUUAUUAGCUUUAAAGGGUGUUCUAAGACUGCCACAUAAGUCAGGGGUGAAAGUCGGUUGCUCAACAAUCGAAUUGCCUUUGAAAACUGUUGUGGCUCGAGUAUAGAUGAGGUAGGCGGAAUGUGUAGUGUAGCGGUGAAAUGCAUAGAUAUUACACAGAACCCCAAUUGCGAAGGCAGCUUACCAAACUAUUACUGACGCUGAAGCACGAAAGCGUGGGUAGCGAACAGGAUUAGAUACCCUGGUAGUCCACGCCGUAAACUAUGCUCACUCGCUGUUGGCAAUAGAUCGUCAGCGGCUAAGGGAAACCGAUAAGUGAGCCACCUGGGGAGUACGAUCGCAAGAUUGAAACUCAAAGGAAUUGACGGGGGCCCGCACAAGCGGAGGAACAUGUGGUUUAAUUCGAUGAUACGCGAGGAACCUUACCUGGGCUUAAAUGUAGAGUGCAUAAAGUGGAAACAUUUUUUUCCUUCGGGACUCUUUACAAGGUGCUGCAUGGUUGUCGUCAGCUCGUGCCGUGAGGUGUCGGGUUAAGUCCCAUAACGAGCGCAACCCCUAUCGUUAGUUACCAGCACGUAGUGGUGGGGACUCUAGCGAAACUGCCGGUGUAAACCGUGAGGAAGGUGGGGAUGACGUCAAAUCAGCACGGCCCUUAUGUCCAGGGCUACACACGUGUUACAAUGGUCGGUACAGUGGGCAGCCACAUAGCAAUAUGGAGCUAAUCUCAAAAGCCGAUCUCAGUUCGGAUUGGAGUCUGCAACCCGACUCCAUGAAGGUGGAUUCGCUAGUAAUCGCGCAUCAGCCAUGGCGCGGUGAUACGUUCCCGGGCCUUGUACACACCGCCCGUCAAGCCAUGGAAGUUUGGGGUGCCUGAAGUUCGUAACCGCAAGGAGCGACCUAGGGUAAACAAAUGACUGGGGCUAAGUCG